UACGUAGGGAGCAAGCGUUGUUCGGAUUUACUGGGCGUAAAGAGCGCGCAGGCGGUCGGCCAAGUCGAGUGUGAAAGCCCCCGGCUCAACUGGGGAGGGUCAUUCGAUACUGGUCGACUCGAAGGCAGGAGAGGGAAGCGGAAUUCCCGGUGUAGUGGUGAAAUGCGUAGAUAUCUGGAGGAAUACCGGUGGCGAAGGCGGCAUCCUGGACCGACAUUGACGCUGAGGAGCGAAAGCUAGGGGAGCAAACGGG
rnacentral:rRNA from 1 species